rnacentral:rRNA from 1 species
GAUGAACGCUGGCGGCGUGCCUAAUACAUGCAAGUCGAGCGAACGGACGAGAAGCUUGCUUCUCUGAUGUUAGCGGCGGACGGGUGAGUAACACGUGGAUAACCUACCUAUAAGACUGGGAUAACUUCGGGAAACCGGAGCUAAUACCGGAUAUUAUUUUGAACCGCAUGGUUCAAAAGUAAAAGACGGUCUUGCUGUCACUUAUAGAUGGAUCCGCGCUGCAUUAGCUAGUUGGUAAGGUAACGGCUUACCAAGGCAACGAUGCAUAGCCGACCUGAGAGGGUGAUCGGCCACACUGGAACUGAGACACGGUCCAGACUCCUACGGGAGGCAGCAGUAGGGAAUCUUCCGCAAUGGGCGAAAGCCUGACGGAGCAACGCCGCGUGAGUGAUGAAGGUCUUCGGAUCGUAAAACUCUGUUAUUAGGGAAGAACAUAUGUGUAAGUAACUGUGCACAUCUUGACGGUACCUAAUCAGAAAGCCACGGCUAACUACGUG